rnacentral:lncRNA from 1 species
CCAAAACAUCUGGGCUCCUUCAGAUAACAUCAGACUAUUGGCCAAAGAAAUGAACCCCUGCAGAAUUAAGGAUGGCUUUGGCACCCACCUGUCUGAGUUCUGUAUACUCUAACCCGUGACUAUGACCAAAAAUAAAUUUUCUUCUCUAUUUGUAAGCUCUCUCCUCCUUACAAUUGUUAGCUAAGGCUUGAGGACAAUAGCCAUUUUCUGAUCAAUUAGAUUAUCCAAUAAAGUUUUUUCUCUGCAACCACCUUGCCUUUCAACCAACUGGCUUCCGUCUUGCAGUGAGAAGCCUGCACCUUUGCAUGAUAAUAAAACCACUAUGCCUUUUCAAAUCUCCUGGCUGAGCAUCCUCCACACUCCCCUGAACUCUCACAGAGGUUCCCCAUGUUCCAUUGUUCCAGGGGAGUUGUUCAUACAUUAAACACUUCUUCCUAAAACCUGUCUAUACUUUCAUCUUAGUUACUCUCUCCAAAUAAUCUAAUUCCUCUUCCACCUGACAAUUUAAAAAAAAAAUGGGGAUUGCCAGGGGUGUUUUACCACUGAGCUACACCCCCAGCUCUUUUUCUUUUUUUUUCAUUUUGAGACAGGUGCUCACCAAAUUUCUUAAGACCUUGCUAAAUUGCUGAGGCUAGCCUCGAACUUUUGAUUGGCUUAUUUUGCUUAGCAUAAUAUUCUCCAACUCCAUCCACUUACCAUAAAAAAUGCAAAUGACAUAAUUUCAUUCUUCUUUAAGGCUAAGUAAUAUUCCAUUGUGUCUUCAUCCUAAUAGUGACACGGAUUUGGGUGUAACGGGUUGGGAAUUGUUCAGCCCAACUCCUACCUUAUUUGGCAAAGAACAUUCCAUGGAAAACUUUUGAUGUCCCCCCAUAUACAUAAAGCAAGUGUAGGCUCCAUCGCUCUCUCCUUCCAGUGUGGGACCUCCAUCCCUCAGAUCGAAGAGUUGCCUCACCCCCACUUUUCAAAAUUACUUCCCGUGUACUGUGGGUUUUUUGCCAUUUUCUCUUUAUUAGCUUUUACUCCACAGUCAGCCCACUCCACAAAGAGGGACCCCAAUUCCAUCGCCUGCAUGAGAUUUAGAAAAAAAUUCCAGUGACUUAGUAUUGGGGAUAACUACAACUUAGAAACUGGUAAAAACUCUGUGACUGUGUACCAGAAAUGAUUAUUCUGCUAUUUUUGAUGAUGAGGUGGCCAAUUAUCUAAAUAUACUAAUAUAUUUAUAUCCUAAAAUAAUGCUUAAGGAGUAAUAGGUAAAAUUUAUUUUACCUCAAUAAAAGAUGUUUAUUUUUAGAAAAAAAAAUCUUUUAAAAAGUCUUUUUUAAAAAAAUAUUUAUUGAGGGGGAUCCAACACGGCGGCGAGAGGGGAGGCAGCGCUUUCAGUACCUUCUCAACAACGGGGUCAGAGAGAUUCGACCUGCUGAGAAACUCCUAGCAAAAUUCCACUAAAGAGAGACCGGCCGGGAAUCGGUAGGAUUUUUGGAGGUGAC